rnacentral:rRNA from 1 species
UACGAAGGGGGCUAGCGUUGUUCGGAAUUACUGGGCGUAAAGCGCACGUAGGCGGAUCGAUCAGUCAGGGGUGAAAUCCCAGGGCUCAACCCUGAAACUGCCUUUGAUACUGUCGAUCUGGAGUAUGGAAGAGGUGAGUGGAAUUCCGAGUGUAGAGGUGAAAUUCGUAGAUAUUCGGAGGAACACCAGUGGCGAAGGCGGCUCACUGGUCCAUUACUGACGCUGAGGUGCGAAAGCGUGGGGAGCAAACAGG